rnacentral:rRNA from 1 species
AGAGUUUGAUCAUGGCUCAGGAUGAACGCUGGCGGCGUGGAUAAGGCAUGCAAGUCGAGAGGGUUUAGACCCUCGGCAAACGGGUUAGUAAUACAUAGGAAUCUGCCCUGAAGUCGUGAAUAACUCGGAGAAAUCCGUGACAAUGCACGAUAGUCUCUACGGAGUAAAGAUUUAUCGCUUCAGGAGGAGCCUGUGUCCUAUCAGCUUGUUGGUAGUGUAAUGGACUACCAAGGCUAUGACGGGUAGGGGGUGUGAGAGCACGACCCCCAACAUUGGGACUGAGACACUGCCCAAACUCCUACGGGAGGCUGCAGUCGAGAAUAUUCGUCAAUGCCCGAAAGGGUGAACGAGCGACGCCGCGUGCGGGAAGAAGGCCCUUGGGUCGUAAACCGCUUUUCUUAGGGAAGAAUGUAAUGACGGUACCUAAGGAAUAAGAGGCUACUAACUCUGUGCCAGCAGUAGCGGUAAUACAGAGGCCUCAAGCGUUAUCCGGAUUUAUUGGGCGUAAAGAGCAUGUAGGCGGAUAUAUUAGUCGGAUGUCAAAUCUUCGAGCUCAACUUGAAAACUGCAUUCGAAACGGUAUAUCUAGAGACAGUCAGAGAUCAAUGGAACGUAUGGUGUAGCAGUGAAAUGCGUUGAUAUCAUACGGAACACCAAAGGCGAAGGCAUUUGGUUAGGGCUGUUCUGACGCUGAGAUGCGAAAGCGUGGGUAGCGAAUGGGAUUAGAUACCCCAGUAGUCCACGCCGUAAACGAUGCAUACUAGGUAUUAAGAGAAUCGACCCUCUUAGUGUCGUAGCUAACGCGUUAAGUAUGCCGCCUGGGAAGUACGGUCGCAAGACUAAAACUUAAAGGAAUUGACGG